AAAACACUUGGUGAAAAUGAUGAAUUCUGGGGCGCUGAUUCAUGUGACUUGAAAAAUGCCAUCCAUUUCCUGAUUCACCUCAAUUCUG